CCCCUAGUGCAAGAAUAUUUGCACCAACAACUAAACAACAAGAAGAGUGUAAGUCCCAGAAAAUAGGAUGUUGCCUUGAUUCGUAUUGUAUGUGGAAUGUUGUAUAAUGAUACAACGUCAAUACUGGCAAGAAGGGUGUAUGGGGGCACCUCCAAAUUUUCCAAGGUAAGUAAUGUUUGUUUUGUGUCCUGUAGGUAGGAUGAUAAUUGAAUGACAAACGGAUGUAAUAGAUUUUCCAAAAAUUUACUUAUGCUCUCCGUGACGGAUUGGUUCCCAGACACUAUUGGUCUACCUGGUGGUUUAAAUUGGUCUUUGUGCACUUUCUGCAGGCAAUAGAAAGUGGCUAUGGUUGGUGAGUUUUUUGGCAUCAUAAAUCUCAAUUCCUCAAUGGUGGUGAUGUUUUCUUCCAGGGCUGAGUUCAGUAAGGUUUUUAAGGAGGACAAGGAGGAGGAUGUGGGAUCUCCAUAAAGUUUUUUUAUAACCGGUCGUAUCGUUAAGGUGUUGCAUACACAUUUCAAUGUAUGCAUCUCUAUUUUGGAUGACAAUAUUACCCCCCUAAUCAGAGGGUUUUAUAACAAGAUCUUUAUUUAGACUUAGUUCUUUAAGU